GCCACUGUGGGUAGCUCAUUUGGAAGAGCAUGAGACUCUUAAUCUCAGUCAGGGUUUGAGCCCCACGUUGGGCA